UGGAAUAACUCCGGGAAACCGGGGCUAAUCACGGGUAAUAUUUAGAACCGCAUGGUUCUAAAGUGAAAGAUGGUUUUGCUAUCACUUAUAGAUGGACCCGCGCCGUAUUAGCUAGUUAGUGGUGUAAUGGCUUACCAAGGCAACGAUACGUAGCCGACCUGAGAGGGUGAUCGGCCACACUGGAACUGAGACACGGUCCAGACUCCUACGGGAGGCAGCAGUAGGGAAUCUUCCGCAAUGGGCGAAAGCCUGACGGAGCAACGCCGCGUGAGUGAUGAAGGUCUUCGGAUCGUAAAACUCUGUUAUUAGGGAAGAACAAAUGUGUAAGUAACUGUGCACGUCUUGACGGUACCUAAUCAGAAAGCCACGGCUAACUACGUGCCAGCAGCCGCGGUAAUACGUAGGUGGCAAGCGUUAUCCGGAAUUAUUGGGCGUAAAGCGCGCGUAGGCGGUUUCUUAAGUCUGAUGUGAAAGCCCACGGCUCAACCGUGGAGGGUCAUUGGAAACUGGGAAACUUGAGUGCAGAAGAGGAAAGUGGAAUUCCAUGUGUAGCGGUGAAAUGCGCAGAGAUAUGGAGGAACACCAGUGGCGAAGGCGGCUUUCUGGUCUGUAACUGACGCUGAUGUGCGAAAGCGUGGGGAUCAAACAGGAUUAGAUACCCU
rnacentral:rRNA from 1 species